rnacentral:rRNA from 1 species
CUACGGGGUGCUGCAGUGGGGAAUAUUGCACAAUGGAGGAAACUCUGAUGCGGCAACGCCGCGUGGAGGAUGACACUUUUCGGAGCGUAAACUCCUUUUAUAUAGGAAGAAGAUGACGGUACUAUAUGAAUAAGCGCCGGCUAACUCCGUGCCAGCAGCCGCGGUAAUACGGAGGGCGCAAGCGUUACUCGGAAUCACUGGGCGUAAAGAGCGUGUAGGCGGAUUAAAAAGUCAGAAGUGAAAUCCUAUAGCUUAACUAUAGAACUGCUUCUGAAACUCUUAAUCUAGAAUAUGGGAGAGGUAGAUGGAAUUUCUGGUGUAGGGGUAAAAUCCGUAGAGAUCAGAAGGAAUACCGAUUGCGAAGGCGAUCUACUAGGACAUUAUUGACGCUGAGACGCGAAAGCGUGGGGAGCAAACAGGAUUAGAUACCCGGGUAGUC